rnacentral:rRNA from 1 species
GUUUUUCGCUUGAGGAUGAGCCCAUACGGGAUUAGCUAGUUGGUGAGGUAAUGGCUCACCAAGGCUACGAUCCCUAACUGGUCUUAGAGGAUGAUCAGUCACACUGGAACUGAGACACGGUCCAGACUCCUACGGGAGGCAGCAGUAGGGAAUAUUGCACAAUGGGGGAAACCCUGAUGCAGCGACGCCGCGUGAGUGAUGAAGGCCUUCGGGUCGUAAAGCUCUGUCGUAUGGGACUAACACAAUG